UACAGAGGUCCCAAGCGUUGUUCGGAUUUACUGGGCGUAAAGGGUGCGUAGGCGGUGGGGUAAGUUUGAGGUGAAAGCUCCGGGCUCAACCCGGAAAAUGCCUUGAAAACUAUCCGGCUAGAGGGUUGGAGGGGAGACUGGAAUUCUCGGUGUAGCAGUGAAAUGCGUAGAUCUCGAGAGGAACACCAGUGGCGAAGGCGGGUCUCUGGACAACACCGUGACGCUGAG
rnacentral:rRNA from 1 species